AGUUAUUACAUUCAGAUGAAUUUCAUUAUAUCAGGUUACAUCAGAGAGAACUUUCUGCCUGCAUUGAGCCCCAUCACCAAUCUCUGCUUUACUCAGCCUGAGCAGAUUCAGUAGUCGUUAUUAGGAGCUAUACUGCAGUAAGACUAUGAGCCUUUGCAAUCCUGGUGGACAGAGAACACGACGCGUGGUACUGCAUCCUGCAGACAGAGGGUCUCAAACUCAACCCGAGGGAACAGUGUGGUCAGGCUGUUGAAUGCGAUGCCUCGUCAGCCUGAAGGCAGCCACGUCCUUCAACACAGAAAAAGGCCCAAUACCCUUGUUUUCUUCGUAAAUCUGACACUAACAGAUGUGACUGUCUCGUGCAUCGGCAUCUGUAGGUGUAUUGUAUUUCUUCCAAGCUUGUGCUCAACUUUAUUCACAUUAUUUCUAACAGUGAAAACUGACAAACAAAAUUUCUGAACUUGUCCGUCUAUGUCCUAUUGUUAUAUAUGGCCACUUCCAUGAGUAAAUAUUUUGUCCUAGCCUCCACUGUGAGCCAUCAAAAACAGUAGUUCAGGUGUCAUCAACUCUGCACACACCUGACUAAACUCAUUAGCACAAACUGGACAUACUUUAUCAAAGUGCAGGUAUACACUACACCCCUGGACAAUUGUAGGUAGAUACUAGACCAGGGAUCGAGUCUCUAUCUACAAUUUUAUGAUUUAUGGUCCACCAGCCUGCAGCGGUCAAGUCCUGAAUAAUUUUACUUCAUUGGUAUAGAUCAUUGCCAAUUCUUGUCCCCUCCCUGAUAUGAAGGUCACACGAAGGCUCGAGGGUCCUCACCUUUCUGCUCAAGCGUGACUUUUCUAGAGCAAAAUUCUAACAACAGUAUCCUGUGAGGCCUGUCCUAUCUCGUUAGAACGGCUAAAUUAGUCCCUUAAUAGACACCAAUCUGAUGCAGUCAUUCUGAUCAGACUGAGUAGCUGCACCUCAACACGGUUACGUAAUCUCUGAGGCUGAUCUCUGGAUCAGCCCUCGGGCCGUAGCGUUUAACUUGCACAUUCAGCAGAAAAAAAAAACAAAACAAAACAAAAAAAACAAGCUGUUUUUGAAAUUACACAACACUUGACUAAAGUGAAUUCCUUGUAGAUGAGACAUGCAGCUUUUAUGUUAGAGGACAAAAAUUUGUUCUGCUGUUGGUGCAACUGAUUAACUUUCCUUCAAUAAUAAUUUUGACAGCAUAUUUUGGUUUAGUUUCAGUCACAUAUGACUAAACUUGGAUUUAGUUUUAGUCAUAAUUUCAUCAUCUGAAUAGUAUUAGUUGAUUAAGAAAUCACAAAUUUUUUUAGCGAACUGAGAUUUAUUUGACUUAAAUAUUAUAUUUAGUCGACUAAAGCUAAACUACAAUGGGAACAAUUCAGUUGACUAUGACUGAAACUAAACCAAAAUAUGCUGUCAAAAUUAACACUGCUUUCCUUUACAAACAGUUGCCACAAUUAGCAGCUUGUUCAGCAUCCUCUGAUUUUGCAGAAUGGCUAAAAUAAAUAAAAUAAUCAAAUGUUUAAUGUAAAAUUUAGAAACUAAAUUUAAAAAAAGCCUAUAUUAUGUUCCUUAUGGGCAAGCUAAUAUCACUUGCAUGGUGGUGUAUAAGUGGAUAUUACAGGUCCCCACAAAUACCCCACAGACACUGAGGUGAUGAAUAAUGAAACUUUUCAGGUCUUUAAUAAACAACCUGUUUAUGUGACUGUUGUGUUAAAUGUAAAAGAGCUGCAGUUGGCCACGCCUCUUUCUUGAAGAGAGGUCAUGUUUCUGGGGGGGUGUCACAGAGCACAGACCUGCAGCAUGGACUUCUGUCACACAUGUCACAGCAGAGUCACUUCAGACAUGAACUGAGUUUCUACAACAACUGCUGAAAAUGGUCAUAAUUGGAGAAUGUUUAACCUGAAAUAUGAAUCAUGUGUUGUCAUGUAUCGAUUAAAAAAA